GUCUCAAAGAUUAAGCCAUGCAUGUCUAAGUAUAAGCAAUCUAUACCGUGAAACUGCGAAUGGCUCAUUAAAUCAGUUAUCGUUUAUUUGAUAGUACCUUACUACUUGGAUAACCGUGGUAAUUCUAGAGCUAAUACAUGCUAAAAACCUCGACUUCGGAAGGGGUGUAUUUAUUAGAUAAAAAACCAAUGCCCUUCGGGGCUCCUUGGUGAUUCAUAAUAACUUAACGAAUCGCAUGGCCUUGUGCCGGCGAUGGUUCAUUCAAAUUUCUGCCCUAUCAACUUUCGAUGGUAUGGUCUUGGCUUACCAUGGUUUCAACGGGUAACGGGGAAUUAGGGUUCGAUUCCGGAGAGGGAGCCUGAGAAACGGCUACCACAUCCAAGGAAGGCAGCAGGCGCGCAAAUUACCCAAUCCCGACACGGGGAGGUAGUGACAAUAAAUACUGAUACAGGGCUCUUUUGGGUCUUGUAAUUGGAAUGAGUACAAUUUAAAUCCCUUAACGANGAACAAUUGGAGGGCAAGUCUGGUUGACUGUUGACGCCAGAGAGAAUUUGAUUUAAUUAGUCAGGCUGUACCGAUGGGAGGUGCAGCUGGGCAAGACAACCUGGAUCGGGGAAGGCUAAGGCUUAGGCUAUGCUAACCCCGAGCUGAGCUGCCUCACGGCAGCCAGUGUAGAGCGCGCAAAGGUGUCGGUUCCCUCCUAGUGAGGGGGCUUAAGGUACGUGCCGAUCCCUGUGAAAACAGGCUGUAAGCUGGAACUCUCCCCAAGAGUAAAGGUUUAAUGGGCUUCCUGUGGGAACGUCGAAUAUAAACGGCCAGCAGCCGCGGUAAUUCCAGCUCCAAUAGCGUAUAUUAAGUUGUUGCAGUUAAAAAGCUCGUAGUUGAACCUUGGGCCUGGUUGGCCGGUCCGCCUCACCGCGUGCACUGGUCCGACCGGGUCUUUCCUUCUGAGGAGCCGCAUGCCCUUCACUGGGUGUGUCGGGGAAUCAGGACUUUUACUUUGAAAAAAUUAGAGUGUUCAAAGCAGGCCUAUGCUCGAAUACAUUAGCAUGGAAUAAUAGAAUAGGACGUGUGGUUCUAUUUUGUUGGUUUCUAGGACCGCCGUAAUGAUUAAUAGGGAUAGUCGGGGGCAUCAGUAUUCAAUUGUCAGAGGUGAAAUUCUUGGAUUUAUUGAAGACUAACUACUGCGAAAGCAUUUGCCAAGGAUGUUUUCAUUAAUCAGUGAACGAAAGUUAGGGGAUCGAAGACGAUUAUUUGGUCGUCGAAAGUAGGAUUCUUACUAGUCUAGGCGAUACAGCCUAGGCAACACCGUCAUUUUGCGGGGACCUUCUAAAGAACCCUCCACACCUUACUGGAAGAAAUUUCAGCAAGUCGUAAUAGUGAGGGUUAUGAUCAGGCUCAGCCUGUGAAAUGGACAAUCCGCAGCUGAACCCUAUUCUUAGUGAUAUGGGUGAAGUUCACAGACUAAACGUCGGUGGGGCUCAUGCCUUAAGAUAUAGUCGAACGCUAUUUGAAAGAAUAGUGGUACAUGCAGAUACCGUCGUAGUCUUAACCAUAAACUAUGCCGACUAGGGAUCGGGCGAUGUUAUCUUUUUGACUCGCUCGGCACCUUACGAGAAAUCAAAGUCUUUGGGUUCUGGGGGGAGNNNNNNNNNNNNNNNNNNNNNNNNNNNNNNNNNNNNNNNNNNNNNNNNNNNNNNNNNNNNNNNNNNNNNNNGCAAAUAGCAGUCUCUGCUCUAAAAAGCACCCCGAGAGGGUGGUGGUGUACCUGGAAUUAUAGUGCUAGUCAGCAAUGGCAACAUCCCCAAAUUGCGGGGAACCCCUAAUGCCCACGGUACCACACAGCGUCGAAAGGCCCUGCACGGUUACAAUCCACGGGAUGUUACAAUGGGUGAUCCGCAGCUGUUCCCUACCGCAGAAAUGCUAUGGGGACGGUUCAGAGACUAAAUGGGAGUGGGAGGCAGUGCCUUUUAAGAUAUAGUCCGGCUAGAAGCUCACACUUCUAGAAUUCAACGGGAGCCUGCGGCUUAAUUUGACUCAACACGGGGAAACUCACCAGGUUAACAUCAGUUACAGUAGUAGUCUGGGCCUGGAAAAGCAGUGAGAUUUCUCGCUGUUAGUGUUCUCAAUCACUGAGAAUGCAACACCACUGGUACAGAGGACACCUUAUUACAAGGUCGAUUCUGUGGCGAGUCAAGGCCUAGCCUGACCGUCGCAACGCGCGCAAAGUGGUGGGCUUGCCAUUAUCAUGGUUGGCUUAAGGUACGUGCUAACCCCGCGGGUAACUGCGCCGGUGUACCCAAGCUUAACGGCUAAAGUCCACGGGGCCCUGUAUUUUAGGGUGGUAUAAAUGCCAGACACAAUAAGGAUUGACAGAUUGAGAGCUCUUUCUUGAUUUUGUGGGUGGUGGUGCAUGGCCGUUCUUAGUUGGUGGAGUGAUUUGUCUGCUUAAUUGCGAUAACGAACGAGACCUUAACCUGCUAAAUAGCCAGGCUAGCUUUGGCUGGUCGCCGGCUUCUUAGAGGGACUAUCGGCUCAAGCCGAUGGAAGUUUGAGGCAAUAACAGGUUAACCUUCACAGGCCUGUAAUAGGGAGGAAACUCCCCUAGUCAUGAUUCAUGGCAACAUUCCUGGUACAGGAGACGCCGAGCCUUAGGGCCAGCCAAUCCUGUGGCGAGUGAGUUCUCUCACCGUCGCAACGCGCGGAAAGGAGUGGGCAGCAUCAGCUGUUUAAGGUACGUGCUAAUCCCCCGGGAAACUGGGCUGGUACACCGAAGCUUACGGGCUAAAUUGUGCUAGAGGUAGCUUAGCUACUCGGUAUACCCUGCUGUGAUGCCCUUAGAUGUUCUGGGCCGCACGCGCGCUACACUGACAGAGCCAACGAGUUCCUUCCUUGACCGAAAGGUCUGGGUAAUCUUGUUAAACUCUGUCGUGCUGGGGAUAGAGCAUUGCAAUUAUUGCUCUUCAACGAGGAAUUCCUAGUAAGCGCAAGUCAUCAGCUUGCGCUGAUUACGUCCCUGCCCUUUGUACACACCGCCCGUCGCUACUACCGAUUGAAUGGCUCAGUGAGGCUUUCGGACUGGCCCAGGGAGAGUGGCAACACUCACCCAGGGCCGGAAAGUUGUUCAAA
rnacentral:rRNA from 1 species